rnacentral:rRNA from 1 species
AAUCUUCCGCAAUGGACGAGAGUCUGACGGAGCAAUGCCGCGUGAGUGAUGAAGGCCUUCGGGUCGUAAUACUCUGUUUUUAGGGAAGAAUAGGUAUCGGAGUAAUAUGCCGGUACUUUGUCGGUACCUUACCAGAAAGCCCCGGCUACCUACUUGCCACCAGCCGCGGUCAUACGUAGGGGGCGAGCGUUGUCCGGAAUUAUUUGGCGUAAAGGGGGCGCAGGCGGUUUCUUAAGUCUGAUGUGAAAUAUCGUGGCUGAACCACGAGCGAUCGUUGGAAACUGGGAAACUUGAGUACAGAAGAGGAGAGUGGAAUUCCACGUGUAGCGGUGAAAUGCGUAGAGAUGUGGAGGAACACCAGUGGCGAAGGCGGCUCUCUGAUCUGUAACUGACGCUGAGGUGCGAAAGCGUGGGGAGCAAACA